rnacentral:tRNA from 1 species
UCGUUAGCUCAGUCGGUAGAGCAGCGGACUUUUAAUCCGUUGGUCGCUGGUUCGAAUCCAGCACGG